CCCGCCACUGCACCUGACCAGUACUGUUAGCUGGUGCAAUCCAGUGUUGAGCUGAUAGUAAGCCCCAGCUUUAGGAAACAAACAGCGUUGUCCUCCAUGUGAUGACUCUGUGCCGAAAGCAUGGGGACAGUU